CAAGUCCUGAGAUUGAUUUCUUUUUUUUGUCCCUAAUUGCCUAGUCAAAGUCAUAUUUUCAAUGUGAUUGUCACUUUUGACUUUGAUUUCUAAAUUAAUCAGAUGCUUUUAAUAAUUUCCCUCUGCAUCAAUCAACGAUUUCAUACAUUUUUUGUCCACAGGUAGCAAGGCAAGGGGUGCUGUUAGGAUCAGAGACAAAGCCUCUUGAUACUGUAGAUCCUGUAAAUAUCUGUACAAAAUGCUCCUAUAAUUUGAAUAAAACCUUUAUCACAGUGAUUGCCAAAUGUUUUUGUAACAGCACACUGUCACCCUGUAAACAUGUAAGAACUACCUUUUAACUCAAAACCCAUUAAAUGUAGUAUGGUUUUGUAAAUUCAUUUAAGACGUGUGCUGUAGCUCAGGGUUGACCCUUGGUCUGCUAACUGCAAGCAGGGAAAGAACAGAGAACUGUAGGGCUCUGCACACAGCUGCACUGUCCAGCUCUUCUGAAUUUCACAGUCAUCCCUAUAUAAUCACAGCACCCACAAAGCUCUUCUGUGGUAUUUGUUGUCACAGUGCUUCGAACAGCCAGUUUGCCAGAGACAGCCCCAAACAUCAUUAAGCACACAGCUCAAAGGUAUUUUUUACAUUUUUUUUUUUAUUUUUUUUAAAUGGAUGGGCAAGGAGAUCAAGACAUGAGUGGACACAAUAACCAAAUUAGUUUCUGCUUUCUACACAAUUGGUCAAGGACAGGAACAAAGAGCACUGGUGCUGGAGAUAUAUCCAUGAUGUUUAAUGUUCAGGAGUGAUUUUUGAUUAAGGAAUGCUGCAGAGCUGACAGAACAUGAUUUUGGCUCUCAAGCAACAACCUUUUGAUAAUAACAGUGGGAAAAAAGAACUAGUAGAGCAAAUUCACUGGGUCUCACAUGGAAGUGUGCAUGAAGAAAAGGGUCGGUCACUGAAUUCCCUCACAGAGAAAAAAUGGCAUCCAUUGACAUUCAUCAACACUUCCUGAACAUUUACAAGGACAAAACAGGGGAUGUGAGCACAGCAAUGGGUGGUGCAUGCUUCAGCAGUGGCAACAGUGGGUCACCUCUGCUGGAGCAGAUUUUGCUGAGUGAAGCAUGCAGGCUCUCCUCUCUGCUGGUGAAAAUGCAUAGCUAAUAAUGGUGGGGACUGUUGUGAAAAACAGCGCUUUGUAGCUGAGUUUGCUCCUUUAAACAGUGUUACCGUGCUCUUUGUAGCUGUUACAAUUUCCAUGAAAAUAUAAAUAGAAGACUAUACUUUUGGAGGGACCUACAUAAUACUAAAGAUGUAUAUCACCACUGAUAGAGGUCCCUGCACCUCCCUGACACUUCGAAACAAGCAUCAAAACAAGUGAAAAGGAAGAUUAAACAUUUUAUCGUGGAUCAGGCAUAUCAAGCUGAUACAGAAGACACACCCUUGAGUUCAUUCUCCAGUGAUUCAAACUUGCAGCAGGCCAAGCAUUCAAGGGUGUGACUGCAGCAGAACAUUUUCCAGCAAAGAUCACCUGCCUAGCAAAACAGGCCAAGGAAAUGUCCAAGAGAAAAUUCACCUACUGACUACUACAAGACAAACCUAUCCCAUAUUUUACAUCUGGUCACAUGACAUAAUGAAAACAAACAAACUAACAAACAAACAAAUUAAAAAAAAACCCACUGAUCUCCCUCAGCCACACUGGCUAUCAUGACAUGAAAAUUAUAGCACUCAUAAGCACCUUCACCACACCUGAACCAUCUCUGCCAUUUAAAAGCUAGUAAGAAUAUGUCACGAAGAACUAAAAACUAACCUUUUGAACAUAAGGUCUGCACAGUGGCAUUACAAAAAUUAAAAAAAAAAAAAAAGAGAGAGAGAGAGAAAAAAUAAUCAAGAGAAAAAUAGAGACUUGACAGCUUCCCUAGGCAAGCCCAGGGAGAGUAUGAACAAGGAGCUGGGACCCUAAGAACACCAAACAAAAUGAAGGGCAGUCCCAGAACCCAAGAGGCAUCUAGUCUCGCUGGCAAGUGGAAAAACAGGCACUGGGAAGCUGUUCCCAGGACAGGUGCCCAUAGAACCAGCAUCCCUCCUCCUUCCUCAAAAUUACUGGGAGUGUGUAACGAGAAAAAAAACUGACUUUUCUAACAGGGGAACAGUGGUGGAAAGACAAGAAGACACCAUCGUCAGAAACGCCAAUGAAAACAACUUAGUUUUCCUUAGUUCAACAACAAGCUGCACAGUUUCUUGGCAUGCUGGGUGUAAUUUAGUCACUGUGCACCAAACAGAAACAUCUCCCUUUCCUCUUCAAGUGAUGUUAGCCUGUAAACACUUUCACGCUGCUUGAGAUACAAUAACGGUCAACUGACGGGGGGCAGACAUCUUAUGGAACUGGGCCUCUGUCCCUCAGCCCUCCUCUCAAGAUCACUACUUCAGAGAUUGCAGAGAUACAAAGAUCAAAUCUGUCCUAAUUAUCUGGACACUCAAUCGAUCUCCAGCUAUUCUUCGUGCACUGUCAUGUGUGGCCUGACUUCACUUUCAGUCACAUAUUCAGUAGCUGGAGGGCGAAAGCACUUAGGACAGCAAUCCCAAAUCAGCCCUCUCAUCCACAGAGUACAAAAGCCACCACCAGGCCUCAAGGAUCUCACAGACCCUCCAGUGGACCCAUCAUGCCAUUCCAGCACAGCCACUCAGAGGACACCCAGGCCCUCGUCCCCACUGCUCUCGCGUGGGGAUCAGGGCAGAUGAGACACUACCUCCUCCAUGCUCCAGGGGCAGAGGUGAAGGACAGCAAAGGAGAACUCACACCACCCUUAAACUCAGCAGUUCUCCAUUGAUUACAUGUCCCUAGGCUGCCUGUGGGGUGUUAGUACCAUCUGUGCCUUCUCCACUACUGCUGGGCAACAGGGUGGCUCCGCUUGCAGACAGCCAGGCAUCUGCCAGGUAGAGGACUCUCCUGGCAUGAUCCUGCCACUCAUCAAUACAAAUGGAUAUGAGGCAUGGGAUGAAGAAGGGGCUGGAGUCUCCAUGGGGCCUUUUGCCUAAGCGGCACAAUUUCUCUCUGGCAAGCACAAUGGCACAGGUUAGUCGUUCCCAGAAAAGGGUCCCUCAGUACCCCCCCAUCCUUCCUUCUCCUUCAAAACUGGGGCAACUCUCAGGCCAUAGGCCCCAACUCCAAACGCUGCUGUGUUUGGGUUGCCAUGGAAUACUGUUACGCUGCUGAUGUCACUCCAACUGCCAUACCGGUUGUAGAGCAGCACGAGGCAGGAGACACACGAAGAGCUCACCCGGUACUAAUGGAUCCUCCUCCCCAGAAAAAGAUCAGGCUGAUGGGGAGGAGAGAAAAAGUAGAGCCCAUGGAAGUAGAUGAAGAACACCUGGAGCCCAUGGAGGUGGAGGAACAUCAAAAUGAAGAACAGGCGAUGGAAGUGGAUUCACCUCCAGAAGAACAACAGCCAAUGGAGGUGGAUCCACCUUCACAUGGGCCCAAGAGACAGCGCCCAAGCAGCCACAGGGACAGCAUCAGAAAGUGGCGUGAGAAGCUCCGGAAGAAGAUCAGGAGUCGGAGAAAGUAGGAGUCCUGCCAGAAAGGUUGAAUUCCAUCUCAACUCCUAUGGAUGGCAGCACGAGCUGAUGGCACUCACUAUCUAACAACAUAGUGCACCUUGAUCUCCGAAGAGGAUGCUCCCGAAACACCAUGAGCCUUUCACUCCUACACCUACGCCCUUCUUGGACUGUUUUUAUUUUGUCUCAGUUAGGAAGCAGUAGCAUUUAACACUUGCAUAGCUAUAAUAAUCCUAUAAUUAUAAGCUUAGUAUAUAGUAAUAGAAUUCACUUUUAAAAUUUAAAUAUGUUAUAUAUUUUAUAUUUAUAUUUAUAUUUAUAUUUAUACUUGUAUUUAUAUUUGUAUUUAUAUUUAUAUUUAUACUUAUAUUUAUAUUUAUACUUGUUUGUAUUUAUAUUUGUAUUUAUAUUUAUAUUUAUUAUAUAAUUAAUUAAAAUAGUAAUUGACCUCUAGUUCCUAUGAAGUUGCAAACAAUGUCUCAACCUUACUCAAAGAGAAAUUACUCUAAGGCAAUCUUUUCUUGUAGAAAUAAAGAUUUGUGUUUCUUUUU